GGAACUGAAGUAUUCUUGAAGAGCCUGAAAAAUCACAACUAGGACGUAGCUCUUGGUACAAUUGUAAGUUGUGAUCCUAAAUUUAAACUUGAUGGUGCUGGAAUUAGAAAUGGAUUCUGGGCAGUGCAUGUCGAUAUGGCACUUGUGAAAACUGAAAAAUUGGUACGGAGUUGAAAAAACUGCAAUACUCUCGGUAAUGCAUAAAAAACUAAUAUCUUGCCUCUAUUACUACUUGCAUCAUGGCAAUCUUUGUGUAUUAACAACUCAUUUUGUUAUCUUGUUUGUAGAUUCAAAAGAAAAUGGAUGACUAUAUGGUGUGUGGAAAGUAUAUUGCAAUGAUGAUGUUGAUGUUUCGGUUCAUGAUGAUGAUGAUGAUGGAUGCUUUCAGUUUUAGUUAAGUUGUAGGGAUGGCGUAUAUUGGAU
rnacentral:lncRNA from 1 species